CAAUGAAGGAAGGGCUCACGAAUCUGGAAAGUUCAAAGUUGGUUGACCAGCUUACCUUUGUCAUGAUGGACCCACUUUACCAGUUGUUUUCGAUCUCUCCAUUCUGUCAAUUAUGGUGUACCCCUAACUCUGAAACUGGCUCCUUUAAUGGAUAUGAGAUAUACUUUCUUUUUCCUGUACAAGGAUACAAGCUUUUUGAUUGGUGCCACCCGCCCCCAGAGUGGGUCUUCACUCUUUGUGUCAGCUGCACUUUUAGUUCUGCGCCAGUGUCUCCAGAAUGGAAGGAAUGACUGACUGAAAACUGGUGUUGAGAAGUUUAUCUCAUGAAAUCACUGUGAUACUGCUUACCUGGACACUUUUACUUGCUUCCAGACAGGUAAUAUUUAUGUCAGCAGGAAUGGUGCCCUCCCAUUAUCCUUGUUCUUGCUGGAUUUUUAAGUGUCCUAUUCUUACCUUUUCUUGGAACUCAGAAUUCUUUUACUAUACCUUCUAAAUUAUGAUAUAUUUUUGUUUUCUAAAGGUACAUGCAUUUUCAAGCCCUUGCUGAAUGAGUAAUGCAGAAAACAAUUUGAUAACGGAUUUGUCAGUUUUUAUAAGGAAUUUUGAGAUUCUACAGUGUCAGGAAAACUGGCAUGCAUAUGC
ensembl:lncRNA